GACAUGUAUCUCUGUGGUAGAGUGCUUGUCUAGCAAGUGCAAGACCCUGGGUUCAAUCCCCAGCACA
rnacentral:tRNA from 1 species